AAUCAUGGCUCAGGAUGAACGCUAGCGACAGGCUUAACACAUGCAAGUCGAGGGGCAGCGGGGUGUAGCAAUACACCGCCGGCGACCGGCGCACGGGUGAGUAACGCGUAUCCAACCUGCCCAUCACUUGGGAAUAACCUUGCGAAAGUAAGACUAAUGCCCAAUGAUAUCCCACGAAGGCAUCCGAAUGGGAUUAAAGAUUUAUCGGUGAUGGAUGGGGAUGCGUCUGAUUAG
rnacentral:rRNA from 1 species